rnacentral:rRNA from 1 species
UACGUAGGUGGCAAGCGUUGUCCGGAAUUACGUGGGUGUAAAGCGCGUGUAGGCGGGUAGGCCAAGUCUGCUGUGAAAUCGCUCGGCUCAACUGGCGAGGUCGGUGGAAACUGGUCCCUGGAGGACGGUAGAGGCGAGUGGAAUUCCCGGUGUAGUGGUGAAAUGCGUAGAGAUCGGGAGGAACACCAGUGGCGAAGGCG